UACGGGGGGAGCAAGCGUUGUUCGGAUUUACUGGGCGUAAAGGGCGCGUAGGCGGCCAGCACAAGUCAGUUGUGAAAUCUCCGGGCUUAACCCGGAAAGGUCAACUGAUACUGUGCGGCUAGAGUGCAGAAGGGGCAACUGGAAUUCUCGGUGUAGCGGUGAAAUGCGUAGAUAUCGAGAGGAACACCUGCGGCGAAGGCGGGUUGCUGGGCUGACACUGACGCUGAGACGCGAAAGCGUGGGGAGCAAACAGG
rnacentral:rRNA from 1 species